AGGGACAGAGAUGAGAUAUGGGUGCCCUAAAGAACAGCAGCUUGUGGUGCUAAUGUUUGCAUCUGUGCUAAGGGAAAAAAUGCCAGGCAGUGAUAUUUUAAUUCCUCUUCUACUUUCUGGGCCAUAUAAGUAUCUUUGUUAUCCUUCAAAUUAUAGUUUUAUGAAGAAAAAAAAAGUUAAUGUACUGUAGGCUACUCAUAGAAACAAAAUACUAACCAAAAAAAUUUCAUUUACACAGAACUGUGCACGACAGCUGCACUUCAUAAACUUUAUUAUCACAAUGUUAAAUUUAUGUUGCUUUAUGACAAGUACUAUGGGUGACAUAACCUUGGCCUACAAUUUAACAUUCUCUGGCAAAUUGAAACUACUCAAAACUAUCAAAUUUCUCUGUCAAGUCUAUACUGUAUACCUGUGAGGCAGUGCAUGGCUUAAGAGCUCAACAGCCUUCACUAAUAACUGUCAGCCGUGCAAAGAAAAUGACUGGAAUGUCUUAGAAUGGGUUAGCCUCACUGAACAUUUUGUUUGAACUAUUAUCAAUAUGACCAGACUAUUACACCUCAGCUGAUGUCAUUUGUCCUCAGACGUUUACACUUACCAUCUCUGGCAAGCCUUUGACCCUCCCUCUCUAGGCUCUAGCCCCCUGCUGAUGAGACUGCCCUUCCCCUCCGCCCAUCACUCCCUCCCUGUGCAAUCUGGGGUCCGCAUAUGGCCUGAGAAUUACUCGGUUUACAGACAGUACUCGGUUCCCCCAUCACUGCUGAGAAUUGACAAACAUGGGAGUUCACGUCCAAAUGAUAACACUUAUUCAUCACUUCUUAUAUACAGUGGACGUGCACCGCGUUAACCUUCCGGGAGGGUGCAAUGCGGCGCUGGGCAAUAGGCUAUAUUCUUUAUUUCGAAGCCCAAGCGCACACAUUUGAGAAGGCUGUUGUAGGAGUUUUGGGGAUUUGCAGAGGUAGUUUUACGACCUUUCUGGUAGUCUGAUUAUUCUUUUGUGCCAUGGACCUAUAAAAGCACUCAUUAAAACGCGAUUGAUCUCACUUUCGGCCUUUGGAAAUAGUUGUGAGUGGCGGAAGCUUCUGAAAUGACUCGUGGCCAUGGGAGCGGGGCAGGAAUUCAGCGUUGCCAGAUUGUCGUACUCUGCCUCUUAUGUUUGCCGAGUUCCGACCCAAACACUGCUUUCAUCACCCAAAUAACUGCAUUCAUUCAUGGUAAUCGUUUAAGUGGUUAAUUAUUGAUGCUUCUUGGCAAGUUAUGGGACAGACACCGAUGAAUAUGUGGCUCUGAGUACGAUAAUAUGGCAACGGUGGGCAGAAUACGGUGAGGGGAAAACAUUGGCCAACGCAUAACUCUGGUCGUUACCCACAUGAUAGAGAUAUAAGCUAGAUAUCAACGGCGUGACUUCCUGGCAGUAUGGUGAGUGUGAGGCAUCGCUGCGGCAUAAUAAGCCUAUAAUGCAGAUUACCGUACUCGGAGCAUCACAUAUCCCGGCUUCUCACCCUUUAAAUAUCACCAGGAAACAAGAAUAAUUAACCAUUUCAACGAUAAUAGCAUAAAAAGCCAGUUACUGGGACACAGGAGACUGGUUUUGGGUUGGAAAUCGGGAAAUAUGAGAAACUGAGUACGACAAUCUGGCAACGUUGGUCCCACGCCCGCCCGCCGCAGCCCUGCCUCGAACCAAGCGAUAGGCUAUUUCACUGCUUCACUCCCUUCAAAUAACACCAAAUGCCCAGUAUCUAAUGUUCUUUUUUAUACAUAUCCUUUACCUGGAUGCUUCUUAUGUGCAUGGCUUAUGUUAUGUGAGAUGAAUAACGGUGUAUCCGCACUGCGAGACGCUUCAGGACAGUCUUAUGUUAAUGUUUCGUCUUCUAUCUCACUUAAAUAACACUAUGAUGUUUAUUUUUUAUAUUUUUUCAACAUAUUCUGUACCUGCAUGGUUUAUGUACAUAGUGCGAGAUAAAAGAUGUGCCCGCAAGGCGAUGUUCUCCUUUAACACUACGCCAUAGCCUGGCAGCGUCAUGGACCAACUUACACUGGUUCAGAACUUUCGUUACGCCAAAUACGCAGCUUUGUAUGAGUGUUUGAAUACUUAUUUGCAAAGAUUAAAUUAAAUGAAUGUUUUUUUAGGUUAUUUUAUCAAGUAUAUGUAUUGCAAUAAGGGAUAACAGAAGAAACUGUCCCCAGGUAGUGACACACCUGCCCCUCGUGACCUGCCCAAACCCUCUCGCAAGGUGACGCCAUGGCAGGUGGACGCGGGGAAGUGCCCUCCGGCGAUAUCCACCGCCAUCCGCCCAUCCCUGCCACUCAGCCGCCUACAGUUCCCAUGCAUGGACACAAGUUGGAAGCUGAUGCCAACAUCCUCAUUACAAUCAGCUGUCAGUGGUUUGUACCAGGAGCACUGGAGUGAACCAUGACAAUUCACUGCUUGACCCACAGCCACCACUGAUUAAAGGUAGCUACGUCUGUUUGUGUGUUACCUGUGAAUGAAUCGGAGGACGUCGACGCCGAUUGCUUGUAAACAUUCAUCCCAUCCAAGAGGCGACUCCAGGUUAUACAAGACGAGAGAGGGGAACGCAUAACCUUCCCUUGUGUGAUACAUCCUGGUGUUAAGUAAUGAGACUACCAAAUCCGCCUCACCGAUCGUCGUGCACUGAGAGAAAGAAAAAAAUUGAGCAAGUGAACGCAGUGAACAAAGAAGAGAAUAACGACAAGAAGAUAAAAGGAAGGGAAAAUAUGUAGCUCGGGGCACCUUCUUGAGGCCGCCAACUCGCCACUCCUCAUCUUAGGUAAGAAACACGUUAUUUUCCCUUGUUAUUUUACCUUUCUUCAGAUUUUGACGUUCCUGUGCCCCGGCUAUCUAAUACAUUCCUUUUUUUGUCCCGUGAGAAUGUCCUUUAAUCCCCUUUUUUCUCAUUAUUCCUUAUUGCUAUUGCUACUACAAUAUACCUUUUGAUACUAUUUUGUUGACCAGCCACCUAAUUUAUCCCGUUUUUGUCUCUUGCUAAUUUCCUUCAGCACUAUUUAUCAUUAUUCUUUGUCUCCUUCAUAUUUUUAUUCCUAUUCUAGUUCUUGUUAUUACUACUACAACAUUUUUUUUUUUUACUUUCCUCAGCCCCGGCUAUGUAAUGUAUCCGUCUUUUGUCCUGUGCUAGUUUCCUUCAGCACUAUUUAUCAUUAUUCUUAUUUUCAUUAUAGUUCCUCUUAUUUUUACUAGUAUCGGCGCCAUGAAGAUAUACCCCAAUCAGUCAAUCAUUCUAAAUCAAUCUGUCUAAAUUAAUCAGUCUAUAGCAAUCAGUCGAAAUCAGUCAGUUAAUCAAUCAGUUUAAAUCAAUCAUCCAGUCUUAUUAACAUUAUUACUAUCAUUAUUUUUGC